rnacentral:rRNA from 1 species
UUAAACGGCCGCGGUACCCUGACCGUGCAAAGGUAGCAUAAUCAAUUGCCUUUUAAUUGGAGGCUAGUAUGAAAGGACACAUGAGGGGCCCAUUCGUCUCACACUUACUUAUAAAAAUUAGUCAUAAGGUGAAGAAACCUUAAUUUAAUCAAAAGACAAGAAGACCCUAUUGAGUUUUAUUAACCCUUGAGCUCUCACCUUUGUAAUAUAUAAAAGAUGAAAGUCCAACAUAAUUUGGUUGGGGCAACCCAGGAUUUCUUUCUCACAUCCUCAAGAAAUACGAGCUUGACUCUAUAAAAGAUCCGGACCACCGAACAUAGAAUAACAUUACCAUAGGGAUAACAGGCUAAUUUCCUCAGAGAGUCCAAAUUGACGAGGAAGAUUGGCACCUCGAUGUUGGCUUAGGAGACCCCUCAAGUGCAGAAGCUUGAAAAGGUAGGUUUGUUCAACCUUUAAAAUCCU